rnacentral:tRNA from 1 species
GUGCCUGUAGUUCAGUUGGUUAGAGCGUCAGAUUGUGGUUCUGAAUGUCGAGGGUUCGAGUCCCUUCAGGCACCCCA